rnacentral:lncRNA from 1 species
AAGGGAUUAAUUAUUAAUAAAGAGACAGACCAAUAUUAAUAAGUACAAGAGAGGACAUUUUUGGUAACAUUAAUAAUUGGUCAAUUGGUGCUGGAAGAUGAAAUAUCAAUUGAGAUAUUUUUAUUAUUACUUGAUAUUAUAUAUCUUAUAUAUAUAUUGUGUGGUAGAGAUUGAAAGAAGAAGAAAAGUAUAAGAAGAGUAGGUAGAAAGAGAGAAAGAGUUAUCAGAAAGAAAGAAAAAGAAGAAAGAGAAGAGUAGAGAAGAGGAAAAGAGAAAGAGAAAGAAAGAGGAAAGGAAAAAGAGGAAGAAGAGGAGAAGAAAAGGAAGGAACCACCACCACCACCAUGUCAUCUUCAUCACCACCAACUUCAUCUUCUACUAGGUGAGUUCUUAGAUAGUUUUAGCAUUGGGGGAAACUAAUCUAUAUUUGUGGGGUUAGGGUUUGUGUGAAUUGUGCCCUAUCCAUGUUAUGUGUUGAUAUUAUGUUGCUUGUUGUUGAAAAAUCAAGUUAUGUAAAAAUGGUAGGUAAAAAUGGUAGAUGGAAAGGAAAAUAAAAGAGGAGUCAUUUAAGGAAAAGAAGUAGAGUUAUU